AGCCGACCUGAGAGGGUGAUCGGCCACACUGGAACUGAGACACGGUCCAGACUCCUACGGGAGGCAGCAGUAGGGAAUCUUCCGCAAUGGGCGAAAGCCUGACGGAGCAACGCCGCGUGAGUGAUGAAGGUCUUCGGAUCGUAAAACUCUGUUAUCAGGGAAGAACAAAUGUGUAAGUAACUGUGCACAUCUUGACGGUACCUGAUCAGAAAGCCACAGCUAACUACGUGCCAGCAGCCGCGGUAAUACGUAGGUGGCAAGCGUUAUCCGGAAUUAUUGGGCGUAAAGCGCGCGUAGGCGGUUUUUUAAGUCUGAUGUGAAAGCCCACGGCUCAACCGUGGAGGGUCAUUGGAAACUGGAAAACUUGAGUGCAGAAGAGGAAAGUGGAAUUCCAUGUGUAGCGGUGAAAUGCGCAGAGAUAUGGAGGAACACCAGUGGCGAAGGCGACUUUCUGGUCUGUAACUGACGCUGAUGUGCGAAAGCGUGGGGAUCAAACAGGAUUAGAUACCCUGGUAGUCCACGCCGUAAACGAUGAGUGCUAAGUGUUAGGGGGUUUCCGC
rnacentral:rRNA from 1 species